rnacentral:rRNA from 1 species
UGUAUAACUUAGUGGCAGACGGGUGAGUAAUGUAUAGGAAUCUACCUAGUAGUACGGAAUAAUUGUUGGAAACGGCAACUAAUACCGNUNUACGCCCUACGGGGGAAAGAUUUAUCGCUAUUAGAUGAGCCUAUAUUAGAUUAGCUAGUUGGUAAGGUAAUUGCUUACCAAGGCAAUGAUCUAUAGCUGAUCUGAGAGGAUGAUCAGCCACACUGGAACUGAGAUACGGUCCAGACUCCUACGGGAGGCAGCAGUGGGGAAUAUUGGACAAUGGGCGAAAGCCUGAUCCAGCCAUGCCGCAUGAGUGAAGAAGGCCUUUGGGUUGUAAAGCUCUUUCGGUGAGGAAGAUAAUGACGGUACUCACAGAAGAAGUCCUGGCUAACUCCGUGCCAGCAGCCGCGGUAAUACGGAGAGGGCUAGCGUUAUUCGGAAUUAUUGGGCGUAAAGAGCGCGUAGGCUGGUUAGUAAGUUAAAAGUGAAAUCCCAAAGCUCAACUUUGGAAUUGCUUUUAAAACUGCUAACCUAGAGAUUGAAAGAGGAUAGAGGAAUUCCUAGUGUAGAGGUGAAAUUCGUAAAUAUUAGGAGGAACACCAGUGGCGAAGGCGUCUAUCUGGUUCAAAUCUGACGCUGAGGCGCGAAGGCGUGGGGAGCAAACAGGAUUAGAUACCCUGGUAGUCCACGCUGUAAACGAUGAAUGUUAAAUAUGGGAAGUUUACUUUCUGUAUUACAGCUAACGCGUUAAACAUUCCGCCUGGGGACUACGGUCGCAAGAUUAAAACNCAAAGGAAUUGACGGGGACCCGCACAAGCGGUGGAGCAUGUGGUUAAUUCGAUGCAA